rnacentral:rRNA from 1 species
AUUGAACGCUGGCGGCAGGCCUAACACAUGCAAGUCGAGCGAGCGGCGGACGGGUGAGUAAUGUCUGGGAAACUGCCUGAUGGAGGGGGAUAACUACUGGAAACGGUAGCUAAUACCGCAUACAUCAAGAGGGGCCAAAAGGGGAUAAGCUAUUAGGUGGGGUAACGGCUAACCUAGGCGACGUUCCCUAGUUGGGCUGAGAGGUUGACCAGCCACACUGGAACUGAGACACGGUCCAGACUCCUACGGGAGGCAGCAUGGGGGAAUAUUGCACAAUGGGCGCAAGCCUGAUGCAGCCAUGCCGCGUGUGUGAAGAAGGCCUUCGGGUUGUAAAGCACUUUCAGCGGGGAGGCGUUACCCGCAGAAGAAGCACCGGCUAACUCCGUGCCAGCAGCCGCGGUAAUAC